rnacentral:lncRNA from 1 species
GCGGUCUCCUGAGUCAGUGCAGGUGCACAGGGAGCGGCAGCUGGAGGCUUAGCGUGCAGGGACCCUGGCACCAGCACCUGACUCCACGGCCUUGUGCCGGGAUACGGAUCCUCCAGACCCAGCUCAGUGGCUUGGGUUCCCAUGCAUUCACAGUGAAUCUCAACCUUCAGGAGUGAACCCAACACACACAUGAACAGCACUGGUUUCAGCCUGCUCCUGCCCCAGCUGUGACCGAGACCCACCAGGAAAUGACAGUGGCCAUCAGUGUAAUGCAUGAGGCAUUUGGUGCUUCUUACAUGAAUUACCCGACUCUCGGCUCCUUGUUUAGACACCUGAUGCUCAGGGGACUCUUGCAGAGUUGGGAGUUGCAACAGACCAUACACAGAGGCUCCAGAACUGCAUCCUUUCUGAAGGCAAGAGGAGGAGCACAGUCCUUGCCCCACGUGACCUAAGUGCCAGUCUGACACAUACCUGA